GCUGAAGAACGUAGCGAAAUGCGAUAAGUAGUGUGAAUUGCAGAAUUCAGUGAAUCAUCGAAUCUUUGAACGCACAUUGCGCCCCUCGGUAUUCCGUGGGGCAUGCCUGUUCGAGCGUCAUUUAACCCCUCAAGCCUAGCUUGGUAUUGGGUGCUUGUCCCGCCUCUCGCGCGGCGACUCACCUCAAAGUCAUUGGCAGCCCGCAUCUCGCCGGCCGUGAGCGCAGCACAGACGCGCUCUUGGCAACGACGGAUCGGCUCUCCAAAAGCUUAUUUCAACCACUGACCUCGGAUCAGGUAGGGAUACCCGCUGAACUUAAGCAUAUCAAUAAGCGGAGGA
rnacentral:misc_RNA from 1 species